UAGGGAAUCUUCGGCAAUGGGGGCAACCCUGACCGAGCAACGCCGCGUGAGUGAAGAAGGUUUUCGGAUCGUAAAGCUCUGUUGUAAGUCAAGAACGAGUGUGAGAGUGGAAAGUUCACACUGUGACGGUAGCUUACCAGAAAGGGACGGCUAACUACGUGCCAGCAGCCGCGGUAAUACGUAGGUCCCGAGCGUUGUCCGGAUUUAUUGGGCAUAAAGCGAGCGCAGGCGGUUUGAUAAGUCUGAAGUUAAAGGCUGUGGCUCAACCAUAGUUCGCUUUGGAAACUGUCAAACUUGAGUGCAGAAGGGGAGAGUGGAAUUCCAUGUGUAGCGGUGAAAUGCGUAGAUAUAUGGAGGAACACCGGUGGCGAAAGCGGCUCUCUGGUCUGUAACUGACGCUGAGGCUCGAAAGCGUGGGGAGCGAACAGGAUUAGAUACCCUGGUAGUCCACGCCGUAACGAUGAGUGCUAGGUGUUGGAUCCUUUCCGGGAUUCAGUGCCGCAGCUAACGCAUUAAGCACUCCGCCUGGGGAGUACGACCGCAAGGUU
rnacentral:rRNA from 1 species